UAAAAUUUAAAUUUUAAUACUAAAAAAGUAAAUAAUUAUUUAUUGAAACUUAAAUGAUUUGGCGGUAUUUUAGUUCAUUUAGAGGAAUCUGUUUAAUAAUUGAUAUUCCACGAAUAAAUUUACUUAAUUUGGAUAAUUUUGUAUAUCGUUGUUGAAAAAAUAUUUUUUAAUAAUAUUAAUAUUUUAAAAUUAUAUUAUAAAUUUAAAUCAGAUCAAGAUGCAGAUUAUAAUUAAGAAUAUAAUGGAUUACAAUAAAUUUAUUUAAAUGGAUAAUAAUUUGUAAGAAUUUAUUGAAAGUGGAUUUAAAUGUAAUUUUAUUUAAUUUAAUAAAAUGAUUAAAAAUUAAAAUAUGU
rnacentral:rRNA from 1 species